rnacentral:sRNA from 1 species
CUAAUACCAGUGCUUAAUUCCCAAGUAUUCAAAUUGGGAAGCGGGGGAACCAAAUUUUCCUGGGGCGUAUCGGAGCGUGGCGAUUGAAUGCAGAGGCCGCCAAGCUUCGUAGGGAACCAUCUUAUCCCGAGCCCGUCAGCUAACCUCGUCAGCGUCAGAUGGGUCAAUUG